AUUGAACGCUGGCGGCAUGCUUUACACAUGCAAGUCGAACGGCAGCGCGGGCUUCGGCCUGGCGGCGAGUGGCGAACGGGUGAGUAAUGCAUCGGAACGUGCCCAGUAGUUGGGGAUAGCCCGGCGAAAGCCGGAUUAAUACCGCAUACGACCUGAGGGUGAAAGCGGGGGACCGAAAGGCCACGCGCGAUUUGAGCGGCCGAUGUCGGAUUAGCUAGUUGGUGGGGUAAAGGCUUACCAAGGCGACGAUCCGUAGCUGGUCUGAGAGGACGACCAGCCACACUGGGACUGAGACACGGCCCAGACUCCUACGGGAGGCAGCAGUGGGGAAUUUUGGACAAUGGGGGCAACCCUGAUCCAGCCAUGCCGCGUGCGGGAAGAAGGCCUUCGGGUUGUAAACCGCUUUUGUUCGGGAAGAAAUACUCUGGGCUAAUACCCCGGGGGGAUGACGGUACCGGAAGAAUAAGCACCGGCUAACUACGUG
rnacentral:rRNA from 1 species